rfam:Nomascus leucogenys chromosome 20, whole genome shotgun sequence.
GGGAAACAGGAUGAGGGGCCAGCCCCAGGCCCCUUUAAAAAAUGGGACA